UUCCGGUUGAUCCUGCCGGAGGUCACUGCUAUUGGGAUUCGACUAAGCCAUGCGAGUCGAGAGGGUUCGGCCCUCGGCAGACGGCUCAGUAACACGUGGAUAAUCUGCCCUUAGGUGGAAGAUAACCUCGGGAAACUGAGAAUAAUAUUCCAUAGAUCUAGGAUGCUGGAAUGCAUCUAGAUUGAAAGUUCCGACGCCUAAGGAUGGGUCUGCGGACUAUCAGGUUGUAGUCAGGGUAAAGACCUGACUAGCCUACGACGGAUAUGGGUUGUGAGAGCAAUAGCCCAGAGACGAUAUCUGAGACACGAUAUCGGGCCCUACGGGGCGCAGCAGGCGCGAAAUCUUCACAAUGUGCGAAAGCACGAUGAGGGGAUCCCAAGUGCUGGCACGUAAGUGUCAGCUGUUUCUUAGUCUAAAAAACUGAGAGAGUAAGGGCUGGGUAAGACGGGUGCCAGCCGCCGCGGUAAUACCUGCAGCUCAAGUGGUGGCCGCUAUUAUUGGGCCUAAAACGUCCGUAGCCUGUUUAGUAAAUGCUUGGGUAAAUUGUGUAGCUUAACUAUACGAAUACCGGGUAGACUGCUAAACUUGGGACCGGGAGAGGCUAGAGGUACUCCUAGGGUAGAGGUGAAAUUCUGUAAUCCUAGGGGGACCACCAGUGGGCGAAGGCGUCUAGCUAGAACGGGUCUGACGGUGAGGGACGAAGCCCUGGGGCGCAAACCGGAUUAGAUACCCGGGUAGUCCAGGGUGUAAACGCUGCUUGCUUGAUGUUAGUUGGGCUCCGAGCCCAACUAGUGUCGGAGAGAAGUUGUUAAGCGAGCUGCCUGGGAAGUACGUCGCAAGGCUGAAACUUAAAGGAAUUGGCGGGGAGCACAGCAACGGGUGGAGCGUGCGGAUUAAUUGGACUCACGCCG
rnacentral:rRNA from 1 species